rnacentral:rRNA from 1 species
GAUGAACGCUAGCGGCAGGCCUAACACAUGCAAGUCGAGGGGUAACAGGGAAGAGCUUGCUCUUUCGCUGACGACCGGCGCACGGGUGCGUAACGCGUAUACAACUUACCUUUUGGAGGGGAAUAGCCCAGGGAAACUUGGAUUAAUGCCCCAUAGUAUGGGAAUAUCUCCUGAUAUUUUCAUUAAACAUUUAUGGCCAUUAGAUGGGUAUGCGUCCUAUUAGUUAGUUGGUAAGGUAACGGCUUACCAAGGCAGCGAUAGGUAGGGGUCCUGAGAGGGAGAUCCCCCACACUGGUACUGAGACACGGACCAGACUCCUACGGGAGGCAGCAGUGAGGAAUAUUGGACAAUGGGCGAGAGCCUGAUCCAGCCAUGCCGCGUGCAGGAAGACUGCCCUAUGGGUUGUAAACUGCUUUUACAGAGGAAGAACCACUCCCACGUGUGGGAGUUUGACGGUACUCUGCGAAUAAGGAUCGGCUAACUCCGUGCCAGCAGCCGCGGUAAUACGGAGGAUCCAAGCGUUAUCCGGAAUCAUUGGGUUUAAAGGGUCCGUAGGCGGGCAGUUAAGUCAGUGGUGAAAGUCUUCCGCUCAACGGGAGAACUGCCAUUGAUACUGAUUGUCUUGAGUUAUUAUGAAGUGGUUAGAAUGAGUAGUGUAGCGGUGAAAUGCAUAGAUAUUACUCAGAAUACCGAUUGCGAAGGCAGAUCACUAAUAAUAUACUGACGCUGAUGGACGAAAGCGUAGGUAGCGAACAGGAUUAGAUACCCUGGUAGUCUACGCCGUAAACGAUGGUUACUAGCUGUUCGGCCCGAUUAAGGGCUGAGUGGUUAAGCGAAAGUGAUAAGUAACCCACCUGGGGAGUACGUUCGCAAGAAUGAAACUCAAAGGAAUUGACGGGGGCCCGCACAAGCGGUGGAGCAUGUGGUUUAAUUCGAUGAUACGCGAGGAACCUUACCAGGGCUUAAAUGUAGUCUGACAGGAGUGGAAACACUUUUUUCUUCGGACAGAUUACAAGGUGCUGCAUGGUUGUCGUCAGCUCGUGCCGUGAGGUGUCAGGUUAAGUCCUAUAACGAGCGCAACCCCUGUGGCUAGUUGCCAGCGAGUAAUGUCGGGAACUCUAGCCAGACUGCCGGUGCAAACCGUGAGGAAGGUGGGGAUGACGUCAAAUCAUCACGGCCCUUACGUCCUGGGCCACACACGUGCUACAAUGGUAGGGACAGAGAGCAGCCACUUCGCGAGAAGGAGCGAAUCUACAAACCCUAUCACAGUUCGGAUCGCAGUCUGCAACUCGACUGCGUGAAGCUGGAAUCGCUAGUAAUCGCAUAUCAGCCAUGAUGCGGUGAAUACGUUCCCGGGCCU